GAAAGGAACUUGCAGAAGGAGCUGUGAAGUGGAUGAUGCUCUGAGAUGCACUCCCUGGUGAACCGCCGCAUGCAGUGAAACAAGUCCAGCUUGAUGCUUAUUUCUCUGUUGUAUUUGGAAUCCCAGAGAAGAUGCUCCUGAGGCUGGGAGUUUGGGAUCCUGAAUGGAGAGCAGCAAUCCCUGUCCAUGCACACAGCGCUGCAGAAAUGUAACGCCGGGACAGCCCGUCGUACAUUGGCUCCAGAGACUUGUCGCUUUCUGACUGCAGCAUCACCCAGGACAAAAUCAUCCAGUUUUCAUUCAUAACUGCAU